rnacentral:rRNA from 1 species
CGGGAAGAGCUCAAAUUUGUAAUCUGGCACCUUCGGUGUCCGAGUUGUAAUCUCGAGAAGUGUUUUCCGCGCUAGACCGCAUACAAGUCUGUUGGAAUACAGCGUCAUGGUGGGUGAGAACCCCGUAACUGAUGCGGAUGCCUAGUGCUUUGUGAUACGCUUUCGAA